AUGCUGACAUGAGUAACGAUAAGGGGGGUAAAAACCCCCCCCGCCGAAAGAUCAAGGUUUCCUGUCCAACGUUAAUCGGGACAGGGUGAGUCGGCACCUAAGGCGAGGGCGAAGGCCGUAGUCGAUGGAAAAUCGGUUAAAAUUCCGAUACCGAUUCUUACUGCGAUGGAGGGACGGAGCAGGCUAGGCUAGCACGGCGUUGGUAGUCCGUGUUUAAGCGUGUAGGUAGGGGGAUUAGGUAAAUCCGGUUCCUCGUUAAUCUGAGACGUGAUGACGAUCUCUUGGGGCGACCCUUGAGAGAAGUAGUUGAUGCCAUACUUCCAGGAAAAUCUUCUAAGCUUCAGGUAAGAAUUGACCGUACUGUAAACCGACACAGGUGAUCAGGUAGAGAAUACCAAGGCGCUUGAGAGAACUAUGUUGAAGGAACUCGGCAAAAUACCUCCGUAAGUUCGCGAGAAGGAGGCCCGUUCAGAAGGCAACUUUUGGGCGGGGGCACAAACCAGGGGGUGGCGACUGUUUACUAAAAACACAGGUCCGUGCGAAGUCGUAAGACGAUGUAUACGGACUGACUCCUGCCCGGUGCUGGAAGGUUAAGGGGGGGCGUUAUCGUAAGAGAAGCGCUGAACUGAAGCCCCAGUAAACGGCGGCCGUAACUAUAACGGUCCUAAGGUAG
rnacentral:rRNA from 1 species